rnacentral:rRNA from 1 species
UACAGAGGUCCCAAGCGUUGUUCGGAUUUACUGGGCGUAAAGGGUGCGUAGGUGGUUGGAUAAGUCUGAUGUGAAAUCUCCGGGCUCAACCCGGAAAUGGCAUUGGAUACUAUUCGACUAGAGGGUUGGAGGGGGGACUGGAAUACUUGGUGUAGCAGUGAAAUGCGUAGAUAUCAAGUGGAACACCAGUGGCGAAGGCGAGUCCCUGGACAACUCCUGACACUGAGGCACGAAAGCUAGGGGAGCAAACAGG